UCUUUUUAACGUGCAUCGUGANAGGGAUAGAUUAUUGCNAUUAUUAAUCUUGAACGAGGAAUUCCUAGNAAACGCAGAUCAUCAAUCU
rnacentral:rRNA from 1 species